UACGUAGGGUGCAAGCGUUGUCCGGAAUUAUUGGGCGUAAAGAGCUCGUAGGCGGUCUGUCGCGUCUGCUGUGAAAACUCAGGGCUUAACCCUGAGCUUGCAGUGGGUACGGGCAGACUAGAGUGCAGUAGGGGAGACUGGAAUUCCUGGUGUAGCGGUGAAAUGCGCAGAUAUCAGGAGGAACACCGGUGGCGAAGGCGGGUCUCUGGGCCGGUACUGACGCUGAGGAGCGAAAGCGUGGGGGAGCGAACAGG
rnacentral:rRNA from 1 species